rnacentral:rRNA from 1 species
CGAACGGUCGCGUAACACGUAGGCAACCUGCCCUAAAGUGGGGGACAACAUUCCGAAAGGGGUGCUAAUACCGCAUAGGAUCAUCUGGUGGCAUCACCGGGUGUUCAAAGCCUUCGGGCGCUUUAGGAUGGGCUUGCGGCCUAUCAGCUAGUUGGUGGGGUAACGGCCUACCAAGGCUUUGACGGGUAGCUGGUCUGAGAGGAUGUCCAGCCGGAUUGGGACUGAGAUACGGCCCAG